AGUUUUAAUUUAGUUUCAAACCUUUAAUUCCGCCAUUUUGAUACCCCCAAUUUUUCAUUCUCCCUUUUAUUACCGCCCCCAAAUCCCUAUUCUUUAUUCUUUAUCAUCUUCCCUCUUUAGCCUGGUGCCAGUUGCCAGAACCGUCAAGAGAACAAGACGGGAAGGAGACUCCCUAUGGAGGUAGCCGCUUGGGAGUUUCCGGUUACCCAUAAAAAUUUGAAAGCAAUUUUAGGCACUAGUGGGUUUCAAGUUUAAUCAAAUCGGAGGUAAACUAUUUCUUUGUUUGAAAUCAAUUAUGAAGGUACGAGAGGUUGUUUCUGUGUGUUUUUAGUUUUUUCAUUUUGUAUUAAACGCCAUAUGUGCGUGUUAAUGUGUAUACUUCUUACACUCGGUUUGGGCGUAAAUUGUAAGUUUGGUAUGUUCAUAAUCAGACCAAUCGUGAUGAGAAGCGGUUGACGAAGAAGCAAAACUUACUACAAUGCAGCUUGUUUGGGGAUUUUAAAGUGCCUAAGCUUUCCGCUCCUUGUAUUAUUCACAGUUGUCUUCUCAUGUAUGCAGAUCAUCAUUAAUAUAACUUGGUUGCAGUCGCUAGAUACCUCAUUGUCACACAAAAUUGGAUAGAUCAUCAUUAUGGAGUUUUGAUUCUUUCAAACAAAUGAGAUGUUGUGGAGCCUGGGUUCUUUUAAAACCAUUCAUCCUUAGUAUUAAUGUUUUAUUAAGAGUGAUGUGCUAAUUUAUUAGUACCGGUGCAACGGGUCGAAGGAAUGAAUAACAAAGUUGGGUAGAAUGAAACAAGAGAGAAGUAUGCUAUGAUGGAGAAAAUUGAAGAAAAGUGAAGUUGCAUGCUUAAGUGAAUGAGAGAUUGUGAUUGUUGUUAAAUAGCAUUUGCCAUAAAAGUUUAUAGCAAGUUAAAAUAUGGUUUUAUGUUAGUAAACAAAUUAUUACGAAUAUUAAUUGUAUUGCUUUUAGAUAAUUUAUAUCUUUACUUUGUUACUGUU